UUACUUCUGAAGAGUCCCAAACUAGGGCGAAACAGCUGUCGAGUAC
rfam:Trichobilharzia regenti genome assembly, scaffold: TRE_scaffold0066163